GAAGCAGGGCGGCAGGAGGGGCAUUUUAUCCUGUAAAGAUGAUUUGUAGGAUUCUUGCUCUGUUGUUUCCUUUCACACUUGCAAACCACGUGUGUCCGAAAUAAUGGCAGAUUGGGGGGUUUCUCUGCCGUCCCUGGGGAGAGUCCAGAUUGUUUUAGCAGCUAGCUGAGCAUAUUGCGCUUAACCUGAGAGGAGAUGGAAUCAGCCACGUGUGCGAUAAUUGGAUAUUUGUGCUGCUUUGGCAUCAUCAUAAGGGCCAUCAUGGCUGUUACCACCGCCAUCAUAUGCUGAGACCUGGUGACUUACAAUUUUAUCACCAGUUAUAUUUAUCUCACACUUACCUUGCAUUGCAAAGUCCUCUAGGCAGGGGUUCUCAACCUUUUUCUUGCUGAGGCCCCCCUCAACGUGCUAUAAAAACUCCAGGGCCCAGCAGGGGGUGGGGGAACUUGGGGCUCUGGGCCAGGGGAGACCCUUGGGCACAGACAUAGUUUUACUUCUAUUUACAGGGACCUCACAGGGUCCAGGGAUGGAGCACCACCUCCACUUCCUGACUCACUCAGGAGGCAACCCAGCCUGUCUGGGCUGUGGGGGAUGCAACCAAAAAAUAUAACUGAAAGGAGGAACUCAGUUCAAAAAGUUUGAAAACUGCUCAGGGUACAGGGAGGAGGUAGCUAGGGGCUGUGUGUGGGCAGGGGAGUAGUUCCAGAUGCAGGCAGGGGGUAGCUAGAUACUGUGUGUGGAGGGGGACUCCCAGGAUUGCUCCCAGCUUUGGGGGGGCAAUGGGGCUCCCAGCUUCAGCCCCACACCUCUUCUGGCUUUGGGGGCUUAAGGGGGUGCUGGCAUCAGUUCUGCACCACUCCUGGCUGUGGUAGGGGGUGCGACCUUUAGCCCUGUGCUGCUCCCAGCUUUGGGGCAGGGGGCCACCAGCUUUAGUGUUGAGACUAGGGGCCAGCCAUGGGGCUCUGCUGACCCCCUGAAAGGGCUCGCGGACCCUGGUUGAGAACCACUGCUCUAGGGACAUGGCUGUUGAUUUUUCAUGGAAGGCACUGAGAUACAGUGAUGGUCACCACUAUAAACUCUAAGAGAGAACCCAUUGGUGAGAAGAGCUGAGUUCUGAAGAGAUGAAUUCUUAUGGAUUCUGACUGAGCACAUUUCCCACAGAAGUGCUUAUCAGAGUAGAGAACUGAGUUUUGCGGGCUGGUAUCACCGGUAAAGUUACUAAGGAGAAUGGGAGACAGUCCAGCAAGGGAUCCAUUCUCCCAGAGAGCCAGGAGCUGUUUGUAACCCCCGGAGCAGUUCAGCCAGUCACAGAACAGCAUCAUGGCCAAGUGUGAUGCUGGAGAAGGCACCUCUGCUGAAAGAGGGAAGCAGAAAUCUGAGUGACGUGGGGAGCGAGGGCACCAUGUAUCAAGUAUUCCCAGGGACUGCCCAUUUCACAGCUCCUUGCAAAUCUGCCUAGUGACAGCACUAGGGGGCAGCCUGAGCCUGGAAGAUGAGGUUAUUCAAUCUGCCUGCAGAAGGGGUAUCCCAUGGAUUUGUUGGGUAUCUGAGUUUGGGGCUACUCCCAAGCAUUCCUCAGCCCACACCCAGGCCAGAGUUAGAAUGAGCUGGAAAGGGAAAAGACCACUGUGAGAAAACAUUUCCUUGGGUAGAAUUCACAGCUGAGCCUAGCACCAGCCUGUCAUUGCAAUGAGACCAACUGAACUGACCUACUGUUUGAAGAGAGACUGUAAUGGAUAUAAGGUCUAUGAACCACGUGGAAUUUUAAGGAAGGACUGAUAUCCGUUCACUUGAGUCAUGCGAAAGACAACCUGAUUCCUGAUUAAAUCUUUUUUGUAGCACAUUUCACUGUUUAAAAACGAAUAUGCUCCAGGACUACAAAGACAGAGCAAUGUAGCAACUCACUCAUCUAUAAUUAUAAGAGUAUCUCUCCCCACCUUUAUUUUAAUGUUUUUGUUUUGUCAGUGUUUGGUUGGGGAAAUUGCUUUAACAAAAUAAUUUAUAAAGCUGUGAGCUGAGAAUAUUUUUGACUGCAGUCUUAUUACUAUUUCCAUCCUUAAAGAAAAAUUAUAUUUUCCUUUCUCAUUUAAAAACUUUUUUACUUUGUAUGUUACCUCACACAGAUUAUUGAGAAGUUAAGCACUGGGCUGUGAGAAAAGAAAGAACACCCUAUGUGAAAAGUUUUUAAUGCACUACAUACCUAAAAGCUAACACUUGAUAUGUUGGUGGCCUAUAUAGGCAUAAUGAGUUAAAUAACAUUUUUCCUUUGUACCUGGGGUGGGCUGACUUCUCAAUGAGAAGUGUGCUGUGAGAAUGUACUUGUUUUGCUUUGCUUCUGUGAAAUUGUUUUGAUCUUUGUUUUUAUACGUUCUUUGUAAUUUUAUUUGAGUGCAAUGUUUUCCUAACUUGCUCUUGUGAAAGGGAUUAGUACCAGCUGCAAAGAAACAGACUUUUUUCUGCUGUGAGAACUCUAGCAAAGUGAAAGCUAAACCAAUAAAGAUAAUAAAGUGUUGUGGUUGUGGGUUUUGGAAAAGAUAAGCAUACAAAGGUGCCUAUUACAGCUGUAUGACAUCCUAUUCCCCUCUCAGAAGUUAAAAGUUUUUAAGAGAAAGUAACACAUGUGAAAGCCAUUCAAAGCUACAGAAGUGUUAGGAAAAUGAAAUUCUGGCAAACAGGGAGACCUCCUCUCUCCAAAAAUGUCAGAGAGCUAUGAAUUAUAAAUAACAGGUAAGAGACUGUCAGCUCUUUCAGUUGCCACAAAACAAAGAGAGAUUAAGAAUGUAUUUAAAUGCACAUUUAUGUGAUAUAUUGAACCAACUUGGCGGUGCUCGAUGGCUCAAGUCCAGAGAUGUUUGCAAGAGGGACUUGAAAACAGCAAACAUCAACACUGCAAGCUGGGAAGAUGCAACUAGCAACACGCCAUACUGGAGUGAUACAGUGCACCAGGGACUUAAAGAGGCUGAAGAGAGGUGGUUGAGAGAGGAAAGUGCAGAAGGCCUCAAGAGCUAGUAGUGCACCAACUUUAUCUUCUUGCCCUGUGCCUUAUGCCCACAUUAUCUGUGGCAAGAAGUCACUCAAGAAUUGGUCUUUUUAGCCACUCACAAUGCUGUAGCAUGACACAUAGUAACUGAACUGCUUUGGCACUUACAUCAUCAACUUUCAAGAUGGACAGUUACCAUUAACCAACUCACAUGGAAGCAAGAUGGAUUCCACAGUUGCAAGGGUAAGCCAGUUAGACACAAAGAACUGAUUACAGCAAUUGAUUAUUUCCUGGAAAGAAAGUGGAAGAGCAUUCGUGCAGGUGGUCUGAUAAUUAUGAAGCUGAUGUUCUAGCCAAAGAGGCAGCUUUCAACAAGAUACCAUGGGAAUUUAUAAACAUGAACCAAUUUUAAAUAAAGUACAUAGUAUAAAUAUAGGAAAAAGCCCAGGCCAAGCAUACAGAACACAAGGUCAUGUAAGUUGAUUACUCCGAUACCACAUCUUCAGGCAUAACAGACGAAGGGACAGGGAUGAAUCAGAUUUUGUGAAAACAGUUACAAGACAGUCAUUUCUAGGUUUUACAAAUACAUAAAAGGCUAAUAAGUUUUAUUACUGAUCAAGAUCUGAGGAAUAAUAAAGAACUAUAAACCAAAGAUGAACCAAAACAAAUGACUCAGCCUUUUAAAAAGACUUUUACACACACAAAAUACCAUGAUAACUAGUUCCCAAGAACUAUUAAAGGCUUUUGUUAAUGCAUAUCCAUGAUGAUUUCUAUAGAAGUAGUCAUUUAGCAAUCCAUGACAGCUACCAAGCCCUGAAGUAAGCAGCAAACUGGCAAGACAUGCAUGAGCUACUUUGAAAGAGGUUGUUAAG